AUCGCUUCUCGGCCUUUUGGCUAAGAUCAAGUGUAGUAAAUGUUUCCAGUACAUAAUAAAGCUUUUGUUUGAUCUUGUUAAUCAGUUAAUUCAUUUUUGGAUGUUGGACUGGUAUGUAUACCUAGAAUAAAUUUAUUUGACUGUGGAGUAUAAUUAUA
ensembl:snRNA U2 U2 spliceosomal RNA